rnacentral:rRNA from 1 species
GAUGAACGCUAGCUACAGGCUUAACACAUGCAGGUCGAGGGGAAACGAUAGAGAAAGCUUGCUUUUUCUAGGCGUCGACCGGCGCACGGGCGAGUAACGCGUAUCCAACCUGCCCACCACUUGGGGAUAACCUUGCGAAAGUAAGACUAAUACCCAAUGAUAUCUCAAGAAGACAUCUGAAUGAGAUUAGAGAUUUAUCGGUGAUGGAUGGGGAUGAGUCUGAUUAGCUUGUUGGCGGGGUAACGGCCCACCAAGGCGACGAUCAGUAGGGGUUCUGAGAGGAAGGUCCCCCACAUUGGAACUGAGACACGGUCCAAACUCCUACGGGAGGCAGCAGUGAGGAAUAUUGGUCAAUGGGCGAGAGCCUGAACCAGCCAAGUAGCGUGCAGGAUGACGGCCCUAUGGGUUGUAAACUGCUUUUAUAAGGGAAUAAAGUGAGUCUCGUGAGGCUUUUUGCAUGUACCUUAUGAAUAAGGACCGGCUAAUUCCGUGCCAGCCGCCGCCGUAA